rnacentral:tRNA from 1 species
UUGGUCGAAUGGCAGAACACUCAACCCGUGAUCGACCGGUUGCUGGUUCAAAUCCCGGUC